rnacentral:lncRNA from 1 species
UUCCUUAUACUAAGAGGGCAAAGUGAAAUCCACAUGACACUUUCAUCCAAUUAUUAAGAAAUAUUGCAAAUGGAACACUACAUUGUUGAAAUUAAUUUAAUACUAUAAGUCUUAAUUAUUCAAAUUAAAAACUAUAGAUAUGCUAAUGGGAAGGUAUCGAGGAGAACCCCUUUUGUCAAUUGCCAUCAUCAUCACCAUCAUCAUCUUCUUCUCAAAAUAUGUUGCAGAAGGAUAUAUCAAACCCAAGUAUCUUGCCACCUUCCUAUCAAGUUAUUGGUCAAAAUUUGAUUCUCUUGGCAACUAUUGCAAUGUGAUCACAUGCACUUUCCAUCCAAUUAUUAACAUAUUACAGAGGAACUACAUUAAAAUAAAUUAAAACUAGUCUUAAUUAUUCAAAUUAAAACAAUAUAUACCAAAGUGAAAUUUUGGUUAAACUAUAAGGAUCAAUAGUGAGAUUUAUCCUAAAUUUAUCUUAAAAACCAGCAAACACCACCGACCAACACCUUCAACUAGAAAGCUAAAGCAGGGUGAUUCUUGCUUCCAAGUUGUAGAACAAGUGGGAAACCACGAAAAAAGGCAUCUUCCAAAGUUUUAAUGGAGUUUUGACCAUUGUAUCGCACAAAAUGGAUGGAAUGAAAUGACAUAAACGGGACCACAAUUGCCGAAUGAAUAGCCCAUUACGCGUUAUUUUAGAGAUGUUCCAAUCACUCUUUCUCCUUGGAUCAAACAAGUUAAAAAUUCGGUGCCGCUUUUUCAAUGAUGUGAAUGUGCGGGAAAAUGAUGAAAAUUUUAAAACUAUUACGCGUUAUGAAGUCGGAACCAAAUUAUCCUCCGCUACACGUGAUGAGGAAUAGUAAAAUGAAAGUGCCCAUGGCUUGAACUCCCUUGGCCGGGGUCAAGAAGUCAGACACAUAAUAUUUUAAAAUCCUGCUGUAGCACAAAAUUCAUACAUACUUCAAUAGAGUAUUUUUUUUUUUAAAUUUGUAAAGUACCUGUGUUGGAUUUUCUCAACACUUAGAUAUGGGUAUCCGAUAUAUUUAGUUGGACAUUCACUUAGAAAAAAUAUUUUGGAUAUAAAUUAUCUGACACGCAAAAAACUCUUUUAAUAUGCUUAAAAUGCUUUAAUGCAGCUUGUAAAUAUUUUUAAUUCAAAAAAAUAGAAAAAAUGUACCAAGGAAUGUGAAUAUAUUAUUGUAUUCUCCGUGUUCUUAAAAAAAAAAAAAAUAGAUGAAUCCACACUUAGAUAUGUACUCACACUUAACACCCGCACUCAAGUCCAUGUAACAUAAAUUUCAAUUCAUAAUCAUGUUCAGAAAUUCGUCUGUGUUCAGAUUCUUACCACACCCGUAUGGUUUUUAAAGAGAUCAAGGCAAAGGUAAGUGGAUUUUUAUUUGGAAAGUGUAUUGGACUAAAUCAUGAUAUCAGAGUAAUAUAACAUUUGGUGAUUUUUCUUACUCACUUCCUAAUAUUUUGGCUUAAUCUUUGCCUCAGCCUUUGAUUUAAUCUCGAACAGAAGUAUACCUCUGGAAUUCUUGAGAUCACCCAAAACAGCCUGUCAAACAGAAGUGGUCCAACGUGGAUGGAUGAUAUCAUUGCAUACCUCCGAAAUGGAUCGUUGCCAUCAAACAAGUUCCAAGCUGCGUUGAUUCAAUAUCGAUCUGCCAGAUUUUGCCAACUCCUUAACCUCUGUAAGAGAGAUCUUUCCUCAUGGCCACUCCUAAGAUGUCCUUUCGACCUAAUGAAGUCAAAUUACGUACUCAGAGACUCCUUAAAGCAUGCGAAAAUCACUCUGGGGGGUAAGGUCACUGUUAGGAAAGCUGUUCGUCAAGGAUACUUCCGGCCUCAACUGGGCGAGACGUAAUGGGGUUCACUAGAAAAAUGUGACAAGUACCAGAGGUUUGCUCCAGUAAUCUGCCUUCCUCUCCGAGAUGGUGACCAAUGACUGAACCCUUGUAUACUCACACUGAGAGCUCUGUUAUGGCCUGCCUAGCUUAUACUCUCUUGACCUGAUCUCCACCCUAGAGGCGUUUUAACGUCCUCACCCCGGACGAUUACUUUUGUUCUCUUCGCAUGUCACCCGAGCCUUUGCCGAGGUCAAGUACCGAGGUCACGAGUAAUUCGACUUUGGUUAUUUACCCUAGAUGUCUACUACAGCAAAUUGCACAUCAUCAUCUUCUUCUCAAAGUAUGUUGCUGGAUGAAUCUGUUAGACCCUAGUCUAUUGUCCCCUUCCUAUCAAGUUCAUUUUUCUCAAAUGUGAUUCUCUCGGCACUGUUUAUGUCCUUACCCAAGAUCUCGGCCCAUGAUGCACAUGUCUCUCGCAUGUUUCUUGGUUGCAGACCGCCAAAGUCUUAUUAAGAGGCGGUCGUCGGCCCACAAAAUAAGAAAUGCAAUUGUAACAAAACUCAGAGAUAGGGGAAGUCGGAGUUUACAUUUGGUUAUUUGGAAUUAUGAUAAUUCUAUAGAAAUGCUUAUUUCUAAUUUUGGUUGUAAAAAAAAAUUAGAAUUAGCAUUUCAAAAUGUGAAUUAUCAUUCUUCCAUUUUAAGAAUAGUGAUUCCAUAAUUUUGGAAAGAUAGCUAUCCAAUCUCACAAUCAAAAUACCUCACUCACUUACCACCCACCAUCCACCACUAACUUUUUUGGUUUUAUAUUUCUGUUUUCCAAUUUUUAUUUAAAAUAAGUUUUUUUUCCAGAAAAUAAAACUGUUUAUUUUCUUUUUAAAAACAAAACUGUUUUUAUUGAAAACAGUUUAUAUAUUAAAAAAUAUUUUUUUUACAAAAUAAAACUGUUUUUCUUUUAAGUUAAAAAGAAAACUUUGUGUGUGCUGAAAGGUCAGAUAUCGUACACAUCAUCUUUAAAAAGCCUCUUAGUCUUUGACAGCAGCAGCAAAGAUUAUAAUCUGGAGCUACAAAAUCCAUACUACCUCAAUGAUGAGUAAAAAUACAUUACCAACCUCUAUUUAUUCUGCUGUGCUCACAGGAUUAUGCAUAUCAGCUAUCGUAUUUCCCUAACACCAGCAUUCGCAAAACCAUCACCGUCCGUCGGAAGUAUGAGGCGAAAGCUCUGCUUAAUAUCGGUUGGUGGGGACUUCUCUUUACCAAAUCACUGCGAUUACCAGGAAUUCGUUGCACGAGGCAGGAAGCAUCGUUGAGAUUACGAAGAUAACUCUGUGAUCCGAAAGAUUUGGAACACAUUUUGGUCUUCCUUACCGACCUUGAGAAACUCCAUCUCAGCUUUUUCCUACCUACGAGGAGCAUUCCGAACGAAAUUGGUUGCUCUGUCGAAGCUCACGGACCUCAAGCUUAUUGGGGGGGGGGGGGGGGGGCCAACAGAAAAAGUCCCCUACUAGGUAUGCUGGCCUCUUACUCUGGGAAACCUCACCCAAUUAGUCCACCUUUACAUAUAUGAUCAUUAUCUCGUGGGUCCAAUCCCUUCUCUAUUGGCCAUUUAACCAAUCUCCCAAUUUUGAAUUUGAAUUAUAAUCAACUCCCCGGUCCAUCCUCUAGGAAUAGGGACCUAAAGAUUUGAAAGCCCUGGAAAUAGGUGAUAACAGUCCUUCACGGUCAAUCCCUUCAUUUAUGCAAAUUGACCCAUCGCACCUAUUUGGCCUGUAUGGAAUCGCUUGGACAACUCAAUUCCUUCAGAGAUAGGGAACUUGAAGAGUUUGAAAUUCCUGUACAUGUAUCUAAACAAGCUUGACGGUCGAAUCCCUUCAUCUUUGGCAAUUUUGAUUGAUCUCACCUAUUUGAAACUGUUUUCAAAUCGACUUGAUGUUCUUUUCCUCCAGAAAAGGGAACCUUAAGAGUUUGGAAAUCAUGGAUUUGAGUUAGAACACCUGACGGUCCAAUCCCUUCAUCUCAUUUUGCAAUUUGACCCAUCUCACUCUUUUGGAACUUUUCAAACGACUUGGCGGAUCCAUUCCUCCAGAAAUAAGGACCUAAAGAGUUUGGAAGUCAUGUUUAUGGUGCAUAACACUUCAUGUCAAAUUUCCCUCUAGAAAUUUGGGUUUAAGAAAUUUGCAUCAAUUACACUCAACAAUAACCUACUAGAGGUGAUAUUCCCAUCUCGAUGGAUCAGUUGAAUGAACCUGACAUCUUUUAGAUCUGUCCCGCUAAUCGGAUUAACGGCUCCAUACCGUCUAUCAAAUUUCCUCCUAAAAUUCAGUAAUUUGGACCUCUCGAAAAUUUUGCUCAGUGAACCUAUACCACACAGCUAGAAGAACUCUGCAACUUGGAGACUUGGGAUUGAGUAGGAACAACUUAAAUGAAAAAUUUUUAAAACCAACUGUCUUGAUUUUUUUACGAGUUUAGAGUAACUCUAAUCUCUCAUAUAAUAGUCCUCUCUGCAACUGUCCUUAACUGUUUUUGUAUUUAAGAGUUCAGAACUUUGUCACACAAUUAUUCAAGGGUCCAAAUCCACAUAUCUCCCCAGAUUCAUGUUCGCCAUGAAGAAUCUAUUUUGACGGCCUUACUGCUGCAAUAAAGCCUAGAAAUUCCUCCCACUGUUUUUCUUCUGUGUACAACCAAGACUCCAGCGGAAACAACAAGAUAAUACCGGGUUCUUACUCUUGUCGUCUCUUCCCCAUCGUAUCUUUGUUGUCCGUGCUUGCAUUCACAAUGCUUUUGUCUCCAUAAGAACAAAAAAAAAACAAUCUAAGGCACGUGCAUGAAAAACGGGAUAUCUCUCCAGUACUAAAUUAUGUGGAAAAUUGCCUAUGUGACAUCAUCGAAGCGACAAAUGAUUUUGACAUCAGGUAUUUUGUGCAUUGGAACCGGUGGAUACUGUCAGCGUUUACAAAGCUCAGUUGCCAAAGUGGAAAAGUAAUUGCCUGAAGAAACUUCACCGUUUGGAGCAGAGGCGCCAACUUUUGACGUUGUUUUUUAGAUAAUGAGUCCAAAAAUGUUAACUAAUGUACGACACAAAAAUCAUUGGGUGAACUUUAUGGUUUCUGUUUGCACAAUAGAGGUCUUGCCUCAUCUACAAGUACAUGGAAAGGGGAAGCUUAUUUUGUGCCUUGAGAUUGGAUGUCGAAGCUAUGGAAUAGGAUGGACUCAGAGGUAAACAUUGUGGAAGCAAUAGCCCAUGCUUUGUCUACUUCACCAGAUUGCAACUCCCCGAUUGUUCUCGAGACAAUCGACAACAACAUUCUGUUUAACUCUCAUUGGAAUCCUUUGUCUCAGACUUUGGUACAGCCAGACUGUUUUUUUCAAAUUCACGAACCAAACCCUACUUGCAGGGCACUUAUGGCUAGAUUGCACAGGUAGCGAUAUUACUUUUUUUCUAUUAAAGGGAAGCCCUGCAAAAUUAUUUUAUUUUUUUUUACAAUAAUCUUUCUAUUUGUGCAGAACUUGCCUACCCAUGUUGUGACCGAAAUUGUCGAUGUUUAUAGUUUUGGAGUGGUUGCACUAGAAAACAAUCAGGGAAGCAUCCGGGAUAACUCCUCUCCGUCAAUGGCAUCACCUUCUGCUCAAAACAUGAUGAAUAACCGAUUCUUAGAUCGCGCUUGAGCCUCCAACGAAUCCAUAGUUGCUGGAACAUUGCUCUUGUGCUACGCUAUCAUUUGCAUGCUUGCGCCCCGAGCCGAUAUCUCGUCCAACAAUGCAACACAUCUCUCAAUGUUUCUUUCUCGCACGACGGCUUUAGCUACACCACUUCGUACAAUUUUCCAUGCCUACGGAUUGCGUAAUCAAGAACGGAAUUUUUAUCGAUUGUGCUGGAGUUGGAAUGAUGAGAAUCAAUUCUUGGCACGCUUGCAUUAUGGCCCAUCUUGUUUAUGUAUUUAUAUGCGUCACUUAUGCAGUCACAUAUGUGUGCAUUGUAUUUUCCUUACUGUGUGAAGACUAGCGGAUUAUGAAAAAACGCUUGUGGUUAAUAUUCGUGUGUCUAUUGUAUUUUCCUUUAUUGUGUACUAACCUCUGCAUCUAUGUCCAAUUGUGUCCAUGGUUGACAAUUGUGUACCAUUAACUUACCAUCAAUGCCCAAUAUGUGUGCAACGUCUGCAUGUGACUCCCCAUUUGCAGCAAUUGUGGUGCGUUUGAGAAAGUCAGCUCAAAUGCACAAAUCAUUAGCUACUUUUGGAUAAGAUAUAUGACAUACAGUUAUGUCGGAAAAGAGAGUAAAAAAAAAAAAAGAUAUUUUAAAUUAUGGAUUAGACCCAUUAACUUUUUUAUUUAAUUAUUUAUUUAUUUCUUCACUAAAUUCUAAUCCAAUUACAACCCUUAGUGAACCCCAUUUCUAAAAUAGAAGUAAAUUAUUGAAGCAAAUACAACCAAUCUCAAUCUUCAUGCAUUGGAUUUUCUUCUAAAUAAUAGAGUUGUGUCGAACCCAAAAAAAAUUCUCUCUAACCCCACAAAAAUACUGAAUUUUUAUUAUAAUUCUAUCUUUUAAUUGAAUUACAUUACGUUCUUUAUUCCUAAAAAGACAAGAACAGGGGGAAAAUAGAUAAAAAAAUAUGUUUAAGUAUGAAGAUGAUUUAGAUUGGAAUGGGUUGAGGUGACGGCAAUCGUGUGCUGGGAGAGGGGGUUGUUGGAAGCGACGGCUGGUGUUUGGAAGUAUGAAGAUGAUUUAGAUUUUAGAUUUAUGUUUAGGUUUAGGUUUAGGUUUUGGUGGGGGCAUUUUGGGGAUUUAUGAGAGUGCAAAGAGAAAAGAUAAACAAAAUCUAAACUUAAAAUCUGGGUGUGAACUGGGACAUACGGGCCCGUUUGUUGGAGGAUAUGGGGGGCGGAUCACUUUUAGAUGGAGAUAAAUUUUAGAGGGGGAUAACUUUUAAGGGGGAUAGCUUUAUUUUGUCUUGAUAGUUUUUUUAGAAUGGGUGAAUAAGGGUGGAGAAAUAAGGAAGAAAAUAAUAGAGAGAAACAAAUAUAAAAUAUUUAUAUAUUAAAAAUCUUUUAUAUAUAUAUAUAUAUAUAAAUUAUACAUUUUGUUUUUUUUUAUAUAUUGUUUUUCUUAUCCCUACCCCUUAUCCUCCGGAUACUUUUAUUUAGGGUCUAUGCCACCUAUAAAUUAUCCACCUCCCGAGGGCAUAAAUUAUCUGGGGGCAUAUCGCUAGGCAAACCCCCGGGAUAAAGUUUAUUCGGGGGAAAAAUUAUCCCCUCCAAAUCCUCCAUCCAACGGUCCCAUAGAGAAUUGUUUUGGGUUCAAACAGAUUGAACCCAUGAAGUUUACAGGGGAUGAUGAGUCCAAUGUAGGCUCGCUUGCAAUUCUUCUCCUGGGUUGGGCUCAAUUCGGCUAAAGAAAUGUAGCCCAAGCCCAUCAUAGUGAGCAAACGUAAUAGAUCUUUAUCCAAGGCCAGAAAACUUCAAGCCCAAACAUAUAAAGUAAAGUAGGACCCAAAUUCGUAACCAUUCUGCCAUGGGCUAGUGAAAUCCUAAUAAAUUACACUUUGGCCCUUAUACUUUUAUUCAAUCUCACUUGGUAUUUUAUUUUCAAUUAUAUCAGUGAACCCCUAACUAAUACUUUAGACAAGUGUUCAUGUUCUUUCAAUUCAUGUGGUUGUAUAAGGAGUGACAGAAAGUCAUGUGGAUCUCAUGUAAAGAUCAUGUGGCUCUUAACUGAUGAAAGAUGGACAUAUUGUAAGGUGGGUUUGCUACACAAUUAUCAAAGUAAAUAGUGCAAACACUUAUACUCCAUUUGUUUUCGUGCGGAAAAUGUUUUUUCUCUAGAGAGAAAGUAUUUUCGAGAAAUAAUUUUGCCUUUCGACGUUUUGCUUGACAUGAAUCCAUUUUUUGAAAAUCAAUUUUAUUGUUUAUUUUGGCAUAAAAAUCACAAACAAUUAAAAAUACCAAUAAUCAAUCAUCAAUAUAAACACUAACAAUAUAGUAAAUCGCAUUACUUAAAUUCGAAUCCGUCCGACAUAUAUGGACAUCCAAUUCAUUUUUUUCUCUAAAAACAAACAAACUCUAUAAAGAGGGGGAAAAAUACCGAUCCUAACAAUGCAUCAUCAAGUCCAAAAAAUUCUUUUUUUAAGAUUAAAAUUUAAAAUAGUUUUUUAAAAAAUAAAACACUUUUUUAAACAAUAUUGUUUUUUUCUAAAAGUAAAAAUUUUGUUUUAAAAAAUAAUUUUUUAAAAAAAUAAAAACAGAUUUUUAAAAUAAAACAGUUUUUUUUGUAAAAAAAAAAUAAAAGAGUUUUUGCAAAAAUAAAAUGUUUUUUUUAAGACAAAUAACACAGUUUUUUUUAAAAAAUAAUUAUAUUGUAUGUGGUGGUGGUUGCGGCCGGUGCGAGAGCUAGCUAGUCUAUUAAAAAUGAUUGUCCUGGGAUAAAAAAUGAGAAAAUCUUUUCAACCUCUUAAAAUAUGUAUUUUUGUUGAUCAGAAAAUAGAUUUUAUUGGCCUUUUAUUUUUCUUCUACCAAACGGAAAAAAAAAAUUAAAAAUAUUUCUAGAAAACAUUUUCUGAUGGCAAAAAAUAUAAAAAAUACUUCUAGAGAAAAUUUUAUGUCAAAAUACGGAGCGUUAGGUAAAAGUAAAGGGGUGCAAAGGGUAAUUUACCCCUAAGUAAAAUCACUGAUCAAAGUACUCCAACCCACAGGCCUGCUUAGCCAUGUUCGGGUAUCCACCUUCGUGUUUUUCAAUCAAAAGCUGUUAAUAAUGUCAUGAAUUCAGUGGAAAGAACAUAUCAUGGACUUUUAUUUUGGUAGUAUAGUACAUUUUAGAGGGGAAAUAGAAAAAAAAAAUCUCUAAAUAUAGUGACAAGAAUGAUCAGAGAAAUGUGUCAUUUGAACACUUUACAAUUCCAUUAAUUCCCCACCUAAUGUAACGAGAUUAUUCAUACAAUAAAAUGUGGUUAUGGGUCUGAAGACUAGAAGAAAAAGUAUACUCUUGCACCGUAAAAUUUAAGCAAAAAACCAUCCGAGAUUAGAAUGGUGUUUAAUAGUAUUGUGCAAAUAAAGGCAAUCUAAACAUUCCGUAAUUUUCAUAUUUUAAAGUGAACGACUCACAUAAUCAUUGUGUACAAAAUUCACUAUAAAUUUAUGCGUUAGAAUGUACUUCCUCUUGACUCAAUUGUGAGAAUGGAAAAUAUUUAAGGUCAUCAUUAAUUGGGUGUGAAAGAUAAUUCACCAACAAUUUUUAAAAUUUUAUAAUUUUUUAAGGAAAAGAGAAAGAAAAAGAUCCAGUCCUAUCUAAUUUUGGGAAUUCAUCACUAGCUAGUUGGUUACUCAAGAUUCGAACUCUGAUUUGAAGUCAGUGUCUCCACACCAAGCUAAUCACCCUGGUAUAGGUUUUUUUUUUUAAAUUCUAAGUUUUCUUUUUUGUAUUGAUCAGAGAAUAUACUACAAUGAAAGAUAAACUAGGUUAAAACGACUUCAUGAACGCACCUCAUAAAAACUGAACUUUUGCAAGAGUGACUUAAAUGUCAUAAGGGAAGGAAGAUGGUAAUUUAUGCACCAAUGGGAUGAAUUUAUCGCCAAGUAAGGAAAAAUACAAAUCAAGAUUUUAAAGUAAUGAAGAAAAAACUUUAUCACUUCUUUUUAUUUAUUUUCCUUGGGAUAUUUUUCCAUUUUCUUUUUCCUAAAUUCCAAAUAAAGCCUUAGGAUUGCGUUUACAACCACCCCAAUAAUUGUGUUUUUCCAAAUGUUUUCUUUAUUCACUAUGGUCACUUGUAAGGGGUAAAAAUUACCCCAUAGUUGUGUUGGAAAAAAUAUUGGUCUCUGCUUCUAGUGAUAGGUGGUCUUGGGCCUUUUCACCCCCCAAGCUAGCCUAUGAGGUGAGGUUUUCCCUCACACUUAUAAAGUGACCACCAACCACUUCCACAAUCGAUGUGGGAUAACCCUGUUAGAAUGCUUGAGUAGAACUUAUCCCAAAAGCUAGCUAUUGAAGUAAGGGUGCCCUUCCACUUAUAUAUUGCAAAUUACUUCAACUCUCAAGUGAUGUGAGACUUCGCUUCACACCCUCCCUCACGCUUAGUGUGCUCACUCGGCAGCACCUGCCACGUGCAGGCCAAGGACAUGCACCUUACCCAUCCCUGGGAGUCCCCGCUCUGAUACCAUGCAAGAAUGUUUGG